GGAGGAAGGGCUAGAGCUUGGAGGUGUGUUGAGAGAUUUGGAAGACCUGAGAAUUGGAGUAAGGGAGACCCUGCCCAGCGGGACAGGGAGGCUCCCUUCCCCACAGGAUCUAAGGACUGAGGAUAACCCCACCUAAGGGGGAUGAGGUAACACCCAAAGGCCCCAUCCGGUGGGUGCUGUACUAAUGGAGGCCUCAGCCCCGCAAGGUACAGCGUGCAGGCCAAUGCCAGGGCCAGCAGGGAGUGCUAUUGAAGUGACCGGGAUUCUGUGCUGUGCACAGUUCUCUUUGCAGAAUGGGGCUCUCAGAUCUACGUGCGAGCCCUACAGACGCAGAUGGGGAUCUGAACAGUUAAACUGGAUUUGUUCUGGGUCAGGUGCCAUCAUCUGGACUAUAUUCUGCAGGCCAAAUCCUGCCCUUGUUUUCCAUCUAUGCAACCUAAUAUUCAUGGAGGAUUAGCAAUUCCCAAAUGAGAACAUGUAUGAUUGUUCAAAACAGAAUAGACAGUGCUGUGAUAGAAAUAGUUGUACUUAUUAGGGAUACAUGUUUAGCUCACCUCCUGGUUCUUCUGUACUCCAGUACUUUAAUGAUGCUAUCUUUAAUCUCUGAAAAGGUUUCUCUUACUACACUUCCUUCCCACCAUUAUCUGUCUAAGCUAUCAGUGUUCCAAGAAGCUAAUCCUCCGAGUGUCUGGUGUGAUCUUACUUUUUCACCUUUUUUCCCUAAGAAGUAACUUAGUCACACUAUGUUUAUAGAGCAAAACAUGGACCACAGUUAUGAUUUCUCAAUGAAAUAGUUGUAAGAAUCCUUUUUAACACAGGCAAAACAGUGUAUUUUCCCUUAAUUUUAUUCUCAGAAAUGGCUGAACGGUUUUUGAUGAAUUUUAUUUAUUUAAAUUUUAAAUCACCCUGAGGCAGACACCUGGCAUGACAAAUUUUAUCCCAAAUAUCCCAAAGUUUGGCAAAAUCAUAUGCAAAUGAAAACAAGACCUAUAAUGGGAAGCAUUGGGCAACCAUAAUGCCUGGC